rnacentral:rRNA from 1 species
GCGAAACCGUGUGAUCUACCCAUGGGCAGGUUGAAGCUGUGGUAACACACAGUGGAGGACCGAACCGGUUGACGUUGAAAAGUCUUCGGAUGACCUGUGGGUAGGGGUGAAAGGCCAAUCAAGCUCGGAAAUAGCUCGUACUCCCCGAAAUGCAUUUAGGUGCAGCGUUGAGAUAGAGUGUCAUAGAGGUAGAGCUACUGAUAGGGCUAGGGGGCUUCACCGCCUACCAAACCCUGACAAACUCCGAAUGCUAUGACAUAUGCUCAGCAGUGAGGGCAUGGGUGCUAAGGUCCUUGUCCGAGAGGGAAAGAACCCAGACCAUCUGCUAAGGUCCCCAAAUGUAUGCUAAGUUGAUCAAACGUGGUCUGAUUGCUUUGACAGCUAGGAUGUUGGCUUGGAAGCAGCCAUUCAUUUAAAGAGUGCGUAACAGCUCACUAGUCGAGCGGUCGAGCAUGGAUAAUAAUCGGGCAUAAGUAUAUUACCGAAGCUAUGGACUUACGUAAGUAAGUGGUAGGGGAGCAUUCUAUAUGCGCAGAAUGUGGUCUGCGAGGACUGCUGGAGCGUAUAGAAAAGAAAAUGUAGGCAUAAGUAACGAUAAUGCGGGCGAGAAACCCGCACACCGAAAGACUAAGGUUUCCUCAGCUAUGCUAAUCAGCUGAGGGUUAGUCGGGACCUAACGCGAACCCGAAAGGGGUAGUGGAUGGACAAGCAGUUAAUAUUCUGCUACCUGCUCACGUUAAAAGUGACGGAGGCGAGAAGUUAGUGCGCACUGACGGAAUAGUGCGUUGAAGGGAACAGUAAUGUCCUGAUAGUACAGUAAGGCUACGGCCGCGCUGAUAAUCUAGCAAAUCGACUUCCAAGAAAACCGAGUGAAGCAGCCCGUACCGUAAACCGACACAGGUAGUCAAGGAGAGAAUCCUGAGGUGCUCGAGUGAUUCAUGGUUAAGGAACUAGGCAAAAUAGCCCUGUAACUUCGGGAGAAGGGGCUCCAACUUCGGUUGGACGCAGUGAAAAGACCCAGGCGACUGUUUAUCAAAAACACAUGGCUGUGCGAACGUGAAAGCGGAUGUAUACGGCCUGACACCUGCCCGGUGCUGGAAGGUUAAGGGGGGGAGUUAUCUUCGGAGAAGCUCUGAACUGAAGCCCCAGUAAACGGCGGCCGUAACUAUAACGGUCCUAAGGUAGCGAAAUUCCUUGUCGGGUAAGUUCCGACCUGCACGAAUGGCGUAACGACUGCCCUACUGUCUCCAACGCGGACUCAGCGAAAUUGAACUCUCCGUGAAGAUGCGGAGUUCCCGCGGUCAGACGGAAAGACCCCGUGAACCUUUACUGUAGGCUGCUAUUGGGUUGAGAUAUGUCUUGUGUAGGAUAGCUGGGAGACUUUGAA